AUCUGGGUGGCUGAGUCGGUUAAGCAUCUGACUUCAGCUCAGGUCAUGAACGGACGGUUUGUGGGUUCGAACCCCGUGUCAGGCU
rnacentral:tRNA from 1 species